UUUGAGAUUUGUAGGGUAAUUCAUGUAUUUUGGACAGGCUGAGGACAACGUUGGAAAAAUCGUCCCCUAGCUUCCUUAGAAAGCAAUUGAUUAUUUUGCAAAGUUACUAAUACGCUUAUAAUAUGAUUGUACUUUGCGUUCCUGGUGUCAUAAUCCUUAACGAAAGCAUUUCAAGCUGAGAAAAUCACAAUUUCCAAUCACCUGUAAGAAUUGCAUUUUGGACACCGAAUAUAUGUUUUGGACACCCGCAGGUAUAUAUAAUUUGGACAGGGCAAUUAUCUCAAUGUUUAGCCAUGUGUACUGCUAAAUCAUGGAAGUAGCAUAAAUUAACAAAUAUUUUCUUGCAAAUAAUUAAAUUUCUCCGCUUAACAGGCAUAUAUUUCGAUAACUAUUACAGUUUUUUUUAAAUCGAGAAAAUAUCGCCAGACCCACAGAAUACGCCUCCAAGUAUGCAAUCGCACAGCAUCCCCAUGUAGUUCGUCAGAUGACCAAAAUAUAUUUACAGUAGAAAACUUGCAAUGUAUUUUGAACACCACCUAUUUUAGGCGUUUAAGAUAAAUGUUAAGAGCUUGGCUGCCCAAUGCCUCUUUAUUGAACAGUUUUCAUUGCAAUAAGGCUUUUAAAUUUCUUACAACUAUCAAUUCAACGAUUUUGAGGUGAAUAUUGUAUGUGACUUUGAACUGUAUGUCGUCUUGCAUACCUGUGCAUUUGAGGGGUUUUAGUGAAACAUUUUACGUUUUCGAUAAUUUUGAAGUAAAUUCUUAAUUGUUAAGCGUAUUUUCAACGUAAGUCAUCAGAAAAGGGUCUGUUUGAUCCAAUAAUCGAUGUUCAGAAGUAUCUACUUUUAUCAGCUCUCCGGAACAAGACAUACAUUGCAGUGCGUGUCCAAAUUAUAUACAUGUCCAAAUUAUAUUUUUUACCCUAGAUGUGCCCUUAGAAACUCGUUAGUUCAUAAGAAUGUUUGUAAACACUCCGAUAAUGAAUAAAACAAAUGUUCCGCCAAGAACAAAUUAAGCACCUCUGCUAAUGCCUACCAUCAUCGCCUCGCAAUCCAACAACUCGAGUGCGUAUCAAUCAACCACCGCAUACCACACACAUAAGGAACGCCGGUCGGAUCACACUCACGCAGUCGUCAAUCCGAGUGUUGAGUAUCGGGAGAGGAGAGGAAAACGAUAAAAGAGCCGAAGCGGAGCCCGUCGAUCGUCUUGCCGCAGCCUACGAGCAUCGCGCAUCGAGAGAAAGCGAUUCACUGCCGGUGAGUUAGCGGUUGUCUUCGUAACUACCACUACCACAACAGACUGCCAGACGGAGGGUGCUGGUCGCGCGAUCCCUCUCAUCGCCAGCAGUCGGCACGAAUCCAUCAGUCGGUACGGUAGUGAAACCGGAGCUCUAGUUACUCCGACGCCGGGAAAGCACAAAGUGACUGCAUAGUGAAAAAUUCGCUGUGGAAAGAGAUAAACGUGAAACGCAAAAGGCCAAAUUAACCAUCGAGUGGCCAAUCGACGUGGUGAGUUCUUGGUUUUGCGAUCAGAAGUGUGAUAGUGAUUAACGGGAUUUCUCCACCAUCCAGACCGACGCUACUGCAGCCAACAAAAGGAGGCGGCCAUUUUGCACGUCCAUCUUUGCCAAGCCACACGUUCUGGGAAAGCCGCACAUCGUUGGGCGAAUUUCGUACGCAUCCGAACGUGAUUUGUAUUAUUUUCCUGCGGUUUGACAGCCCGUAUACCCGGUGGCGGCACUGUGGCCGUGCAGCUGGCAGAUUACCCACCGUGCACGUGAUACAUUGGUCAUCGUUGCUAGACGCAGAGAACCAAUUUCAACAACCGUCCGACGAAACUUCGCACACGAUCAAACGAGCAAAGCAGGGUCAGCAGGAGGCAAAAGCUUCAUCUGGGCCACAACCAUCCAGAAAUUCCGAGAAGACAGGAACAAAGAGCCUUCACCAAAGAAGGCUCUUUUUUCUCGUUCCAGUUUCGUCAACAUCAAUCAGGCAGACCGAGCGGGGGUGACCACCGACGUCGGCGCACCGUCGACCUUGAGACGACCUCGGUGGCUUUCGGCGGGACGCGGUAGCCAGCUUCCCGGCGCGGGAGCGAAGGGCUCGAAGGCAGCAACGAUCGCAUCGGUAAUCGGAGGAGCGGAUUGGUGAGCGAGUUGGCGCCAAUCAUGAAUCGUACCGUAGGGUCGGCCGGGAACACGCAUCCGGCAGGCGAGGAGGCCCGAGUGAGCGGUCGAGGUUUGUGAUCGGUGGCGAUGCGUGAGUAGAACUAUGAGACAAAUGUUAGUUUCUAAGUAAGAAUAAACAGCUAGGACGUAGAGAGAGGAUUAGGCGUUUAGGUGGCACAAUGAUAGGAGCCAAAUAAAGAUGUUGUCUAAAUGAAUAAGCUUUGAGUUGGUGCUUUGAUUGCCGUGUUUGUGCCCGAAUUACCCUGCUAUACGGUAGUCUUGCUCUACUGGUCGGGAAGUUUGCAACAAUCUUGAGCCGUUAUCCGUGUUUUGUUUUUCCUUCUUUUGUUUUGUUUUAUUCUCAUGUGUAAGCUUCCACUGCCCAUGUGUCGGUAACACAGUGCUCUGUAUAGUCCAGUUUCAUAUUCAGAGAGAAUCGCUCAAAAUAUUUCGCAACCGUGUCCUGGAAAACUUCCUGCAGGGACUGUCACUUCUGAACAACUACAUACCUACGUACUGAUUGAAAAAAAAAACACGACUUUUUUUCUGAACAUCCAGAUAAACCGAGAAAUUCCCUUUGAUUUCAAAAUCACACACGUAUGUGAAAGUUUACUCGGUGUAAACGCUUUAGCUUCAAUGCUAUUUAACUGAUGGUCCGCUGAGUGCAACAGUUUUGCAGUUAUCGAACCGCUAUCCGUCACAAUAAAAUGUCAACCGUGAUGCGACGUCUUCCGCAUGCACUUUUCCUGCAGUGCGAUGUUUUCCGACUGCACAUAUGAUGCAUUCUGCAGCAACUGCCACCUUUAUGACGUCUGUCAAUUCUUGCCGUUAUCGAAUUUCAUUCGGUAAUUAAACGUUGCAUGUUGCAGAUAUCAAAUGUCUACAGUACGCCAUUUGCUCCAGGAGCGAACAUUUAUUUUACUUUACCUUUACACGGUUGCCACAUUAGUCUUAACGCCUUCACUGUAGCAUAAACUAGUGAGAACAUUUCAAUACAUUCUAAACUACAGCUGCUUGUUGGCAUUUUUGAAAGGAUGAAUUUGUUUAUAUGCCUAGUAACCAUUCUGUUUGUACCGUUCUUCAAGAGCUAUGCAAUGCCGAUCAAUUUGUUACGCUCUCCGGGAGCCGCGCUGUGCCAUGCACUAGCCGCUUUUUUCUAGGUUACGGUCUCCGAGACCACCUCUCUUUUACGCUCUCCGGGAGCUACGAUGUGCUUCGCACCAGCCGUCUCAAUAAUCUCGGCCUCCAGGGCCAUCAAUUUGAUUUCGCUCUCCGGGAACUAUGCUGCGUUCUGCGCCAGCCAUUUGAUUUAUUUUUCAAUAGCACGAUACGUAUUUGCAGCCUUAACUUCUCGCUAGACAUCGGGGAAAAAUGCUUGUUGCCAUAUGUGUGAAAAUUAAUAACUUUUUCACACUCUCUUUGUCUCAUACAAAAAUCGUCAAGAACCGCGCCAAAAAUCCAACCAAUUACACCAGCUUGUUGUUUCAGCCAUUUUUUCACUAACGUCUGGCACACUCUGUAAGCUGAAAUUUCGUUUUGUUAUCUCUCGCCGUUUCAUCAUACCAUACAAUUCCGUUAUAUUCGAUUCGU